CUUUACUGUAGCCUGGAAUUGUGUCCGGGCUUCGCUUGCGCAGGAUAGGUGGGAAGCGAUGAAGUAUUCCUUGUGGGGAAUAUGGAGCUAACGGUGAGAUACCACUCUGGCGAAGCUAGGAUUCUAACUUAUUUCCGUUAUCCGGAAAAAGGACAGUUUCAGGUGGGCAGUUUGACUGGGGCGGUCGCCUCCCAAAGAGUAACGGAGGCGCGCGAUGGUGGGCUCAGGCUGGUCGGAAAUCAGCCCUCGAGUGCAAUGGCAUAAGCCCGCCUGACUGCGAGACCGACAGGUCGAGCAGAGACGAAAGUCGGCCAUAGUGAUCCGGUGGUUUCCAUGUGGAAGGGCCAUCGCUCAACGGAUAAAAGGUA
rnacentral:rRNA from 1 species